UACAGAGGGUGCGAGCGUUGUCCGGAAUCACUGGGCGUAAAGGGCGCGUAGGUGGCCCGACAAGUCAGUGGUGAAAGCUCGACGCUCAACGUCGAGUCGGCCACUGAUACUGUUGGGCUGGAGCACUGUAGAGGCUCAUGGAAUUCCGGGUGUAGCGGUGGAAUGCGUAGAGAUCCGGAAGAACACCGGUGGCGAAGGCGGUGAGCUGGGCAGUAGCUGACACUGAGGCGCGGAAAGCGUGGGGAGCAAACAGG
rnacentral:rRNA from 1 species